rnacentral:tRNA from 1 species
GUCUUAAUAGUUUAAGUAAAAUAUUAAAUUGCAAAUUUAAAGAUAAAUAAAUAAAAUUUUAAGAUU